rnacentral:lncRNA from 1 species
GGAGAAAUACCAUUGUCUUUAUCAUCAAGUUACAUCCAAAUGGUUGAUUUUUCGAGCAAUCAAUUCAACGGAACAAUUCCAUCUUCAUUCCUCCAGCAUGCCUGGAAUUUGAGCAGCUUCAAUGUCAGCAAUAAUCAUUUUAAAGGCCAAAUACCUUCCUCUAUCUGUCUUCGUUCCUCCUCUCUUAGAGUCUUGGAUUUCUCCCACAAUAAUUUCAGUGGCCCAAUUCCCCCCGGACUUGGAAACUGUUCCGAGUUGGAGGUCUUUCGUGCUGGCGACAAUACUCUCUCAGGGUCCCUUCCUGCUGAUAUCUACAAUGCUCAGGCACUUCAAGAAAUUUCAUUAUCUACCAAUGGGCUUGUGGGACCCAUCAGUGAGAAUGUUGGGAAGCUCUCCAAAUUAAAGCUCAUGCGCCUUCAAUACAACAAUCUCCAUGGUCAUCUGCCCCCAUCUCUGAUGAAUUGCACAAACCUUGUUGAAAUAAAUCUGGGAUUCAACUUUUUUAGUGGGAAUCUCUCUGUGCUCAAUUUCUCUAAACUUACUCAACUUAGUAAACUAGAUUGUUUAAGUAAUAAUCUCACUGGUACCUUGCCAAUAAGCCUCUACUCAUGCAAGUCCCUCAAAGCACUUCGACUGGCUACAAAUGAUUUCGAGGGCCAACUCCAACCUGAGAUUCUUCAAUUGAAAAACUUGACCUUCCUCUCGCUUUCUCGUAACAGACUCACCAAUGUCACGGGGGCAAUGAAGAUACUGACGGGUUUCAAAAGUCUAAAGGUGCUCCUUCUUGCAAAAAAUUUUAAAGGUGAAGAAAUGCCAGAUGGGGAUAUAACUGUCGAUUCCGGGUUACAAAAUCUGUGUGUUUUCAGUUUACUUAUGUGUCAUAUGACAGGACACAUACCUGCAUGGAUUUCAAAGCUCGGGAAACUGGAAGUCCUGGAUUUGUCUUUUAACAGACUCACUGGCACAAUACCUGGUUGGUUGGGGACUCUUCCGCAUCUUUUCUUUUUGUUGUUGAAUGACAACUUGAUUUCGGGUGAAUUUCCAAAGGAGCUUUGCAGACUACAAGCAUUAGUAUCGCAAAAGGCUGCGAAUGAAACAGGCCAUUGUUCUCUUGAGCUGCCCGUCUACUUUCAACGCGGUAAUAAUGCAACUGUGCUGGCUUCACAGUACAAAUAUGUGCCCAACAUGCCAAGAGUAAUCUCCCUCAGGAACAACAGUUUAAGCGGCAGCAUACCCUUUGAGAUUGGCCAAUUGCAAUUUCUUCAACAACUGGAUCUAAGCAUCAACAACUUCUCCGGCAACAUUCCAGACCAAAUAGCCAACCUCCCAAAGUUGGAGAGAUUAGAACUCAACAGUAACCGUCUGUCAGGCGAAAUCCCAUCAUCACUAUCAAAUCUCCAUUUCUUGUCUACAUUUACUGUUGCAUACAAUAAUCUUGAAGGACCAAUACCAGCCGGCACUCAGCUCCAAGGAUUCAGUGUCUCUGCAUUCGAAGGGAAUCCGAAACUUUGCGGUGCCCCACUUUCAAACCAGUGCUUCCCAAGUAAUGGCAAUGAUGCAGAUGAGAAUAAGAACAACCAGGAUUUGGACGAUGAUGAGGAGCAAAGUCUAUGGUUUGGGUUAUCUGUUGUGCUUGGUUUCUUUGUAGGGUUAUUGGGAUUCUGUUGCCCUUUGCUUCUCAAGAGGACGUGGAGAUAUGCAUAUUUCAAACUCCUUGACAAUAUUCAAUUCAUGGUCUAUCUGAAGUGGAGAAGGCUUAGAAGAAGGUAGAGUUCUAGAAUCUAGACUCUCUGUUCAUUUUUCUUUUUUCGAUUUGUUUACAAUUCCUAAUUCUUGUUCUUCUUCUUAACAGGAAAGCCCAAGGCCAAGUCCAAGUCCCAAACCAAAAGGAUGAAGUUAAAAGCAGCAAACCGGAUAGUGAAACCGAGAGUACAAAUCGGUCAGAAUAUGCAAACAACAGUAACUCUUUCAUGGUCCCUGACAACUUCCAAACCACCUCUCUCGUCAAUGUUCCAGUUCAAGCUCGCUGCCCAGAAGAUGAAGAAAUAUUAAUGUGUACGGAUUGAGCCAGAAAUUCUCUAGUGCAAAAUAUCUAUUUAGUAGUAGGAUGUUCAUUCCCUAAUCGGAUUGUAAGUUGAAUAACUCUUUUAUUAAUUUUCUCUCUUUGUUUAGACCAAAAUUAUGGACCAAACUAUCAAUGAGAAGGGUUUGUGUUUUUUCCGAAAGUAAAACAAAAAAACUAGUGUAAGUUGGGCUUUCACUUACUUCUUCUGGUUUGCACGGGUUGAAAGUCGGAAGUCGUUGAACGAAUCCCAACACGAGCAGAAGCCGAAAACCACAGAGCUCCAACUUUCGCAAGAGGAGGCGGUUCAGGAAAUGUGUUACAGUGGCACGUAAGUUCCUAACCCUGUAAAUUGGCCAUUGUUGGAAACAUGAAAACAAUCUGGAAAUCUGGCAAGAGAUAAAAAAAAAUGGCAAAAGAACACGGUUCAGGAAUUUCAUCAAACAGUUCAUGUGCAAUCUCUUUUCAGAAAGUUUAAAACUCCAGUUAUCUUGUGAGCGUAAGAUAGCACAUUAAGGAAGAAACAUGUAAAUGCAGCUUCAUCGUCUACAAAACAAGCAUACAACUUAACAGUUUUUUCUGUUGAAAUUUUUGGCAAACAAAUGUCUGGGUCUACAGUUUGAUGGUGUCUCGAGGUUAUGUCAAAAGAGGUUUUUUCUGGAAGUUAUUUAUUUUUUUAUUUUUAUAUAUAUUUUUUAAUGAGGUCUAAUGCAAUAGGCCUGGCUCACAAUUGACAUAGAGACUUUGGCUGCCUUUGUGUUCACCUUUUUAGUGAUGAUUGGAUUAGAUUCAAUGAUUAAACAAACUAGAUUAGUUUUACUUGGACUAAGAAGUAUAAAAAUUGUAAAGCGUUUUAUGCAUUUAGAGAUGGGGCUAAAGAGGCGUGCGUAUUUCUUCUGUUUUAUAUAAACAAGCCAUUUAUUCAUAGAGAUUUUCGUUUUUCUUUUAAAUGGGAACUAGUUUUUGGUCUCAUUGACAUCAAACUUAACAAUCUAAAUCAUAAAUUUUUUUCAAUUGAGAAUGCAUUCACAAUCUAAAUCAUAUAUUUUCUCUUUGAAAAUGCAUGUAAAUGCCAAAGCGAAAAUGUUUGCAACAUCUAAUUGAGUUCAAAUAAAUUGACGAACAUUAUGUUAUAAGAAAUAUUAAAAUUUCAUCAUGAUAAUAAAAUCGGCAAAUAGUUUCAGAUAAUUGAUUUUUUUUUGUUUGUUUUUGCAACGGUAAGCUAUAAAAGAAAACAGAAAAAUAGAUUGUUUGAAUUAUUGAAAGUCAAUGCAGAGUGAUACCCAUAACUAGUAUACAUUUAAAAAUGAUGACACUUUUAUUUUCUGUUUUAGCCACUUAGAUUUUAGAUUGACUGUUUCGAUCGUGCUUCGUAUCGUAUCAUGGUGUUUUGAAUAAAACUUCUUACCCAAGAAAAACAAAAACAAAAUGCUCCAUUAAUUUCCUUUGAUCAUGACUUAAGUAAACCAUUGAGUCCAAUCUGCUAAGAAGAAAAAAAUCAACUUCGAUAAGUUGGCAUGUCAAUGUCCAAAAUUUCAAACAUUCUUUGUGAUAAUGAUUAUACUUUGCAAUUUCGAAGUCAAAUAUACAGAAGAAAAAAAAAUAUAGUAGUGAAAUAGGUCACGCAUGGUAGAUUUAUGCUAUUUUAUGUUAAACAAUUAUUACGCGUAACUGUAUCAUUUAUUUUUAAACAAGAGAUAUUUAGAGAGGAAAAAUCAAGCACAUAACUUUGCACGCUGUUAAAUCAAGGAGAAUUUUCUGAUAAAUAAAUAAAUUAAUGUUCAUAUCACUUCUACUUAUUCUUAACUAUAUAAUUAUUUAUCUGCUAGUUCAUAACUCUCCUAUUUAAUCGAAAUUCCUUAACUUGAUUGCAUCUAAAAAAUUGUCCAAAGUGAUUAAUAGUGUUUCUACUUUCUAUUCAAAGCACUUUUAAUAAACGACAUUUUUGAAGUACUUAAAACUCUUCCAAAAGCACUAGCCCAAAGUCAAUGUAACCAUUCUAAUAUGUUGCCAACCCAUGAUUAGACCCUCCAUUAGUGACGGCCCAUUUCACCUAUGGCAUGGUUAACUUACGAAACCGGACUGGAAUGGGAAGAAACGAAACGGAAUAACACUUUCUCUCAGAGCAUUCCAGUGUUUACCAAGCUUGUGAGGAAUCAAAAAAUAGGUGGGUCCAGGUUCUCCUAAAAUUAGUAAUUAAAUUUCUAAAUUAUUCAGAAUUGGACUACCUAGAUGGAGGUGGUAUUUGGAUUCCGGGAUGAAGGCUCCAGCCAUAAUCAAACUUUUUUACCUAAAAUACCCAUACACUUAUUACUUGUAACUCAAAUGCUUAAACAUAUUUACCGUUGCAUUUGAGUCCGAUAUUUGAUUAUCCUCUUCUUCACUAUUGCUUGUAUCCAAAAAGUAUAAAAGAAUUGUAAUCUAAACGCAUUUGGCCACUUUGAAGUCAAUGUAAGUGACUCUUUGGAGUCUUUUGAUUGUUGUUAACUUGUUUACUCUUAAAAGUCAAACCACACCACUUCAAAUCCAUAAAAGAUCUUUACACAACCUUGAAGAUAUUGGGAAAUAGCAGACAAAACCACAUUACAUACAUACAUAGUACGCGUGUGUAUAUAUAUAUAUAGAGAGAGAGAAAAAAAAAUUAUUAUUAGCACACUAAAAAUCUCAUUUUGCACUCCAAAUUUUCUAUAAUUAGAAAGAAAAAUACAUUUGUGAGGAGUGUAGAAUGAGAUUUUAGUAGUACUAAUAACACUUUCGAUACACACACACACUCAUAUUGAUCAAUAUAAAAGCUUGCAAGUUGCAACUUAACAAUGUUCAUAUGCAGCUGUCAUGGCUUCCAGAAGAUGUAUAUACUGCACAAGUUGAUGCAUUUGAUGUAUAUGUAUAUGUAUUUUUUGUUGUUCAAAGAUGUAUAUGUAUACGUGUAUACGAAUGAUGCUUGCGAUCCAAGCAGACGCAGCGCUCUCACGACCUUUUCUCGCUCUCCGUCUUCUCCUCCAUUGAACUGGACUACUACUUCAGUUGAUUGUUGCCAGUGGGAAGGCAUCACAUGUGAACAAAAUGCUCCGUUAAGUAAACCACUGAGUCCAAUCUGCUAAGAAGAAAAGGACAAGUUGGCAUGUCAAAGUCAAUGUCCAAAACUUCAAGCAUUCUUCGUGUUAUUUAUUACUAGCCUUCACGCUCACGAAUGUGCAAAAGACAUUUUUUGAAUCACGGCGUGCUACAUGCGAUUACACAUUUUUUGAAUCAUAUUAUUGCUAGCACAUUGUAAGGCUAAACUCAUCUCUCCUUUUAGUGUAAUAUAACCGGCACUACACCUCUUAAGAUGUUUUGAACAUGUUUAAAAAUAGAGAAAAUAAUAUUUAAUAAACAAUUGAUUGAAUCACAUUAUUACUAGCCCAUUAUGAGAUACUAAUUAUAAAAAAAUAAAAAUAAAAACCACACAAAAAAAAAUAAUUAUAAAAAAUAUUGUUUAUAUGAUGAAAAUACCCCUGCAUUAUUUGAUGCAUCAUUUUGGGUUGCUUUUGAACUUUUUUUGUUUGGGGGGCAUUUUUGUGCCCUCCUUUUUUUUUUUUUUUUUUUUUUUUUUUUUUGUGAAGCCCGUGCUGACUUUAUAUAGUAGUAUAGAUAUCUUUGCAAUUUCAAAGUCAAGAUGAAGAAAAACAAAUAUAGUAGUUAAAUAAGGGCUGGUUUGGUAUUGCUGUGCUUUGAAAAAAAGCUGCUGUGAGAAUAAGCGGUUGUGCUGUGAGAAUAAGCGGCUGUGAAAUAAAGCCAGUAGAGUGUUUGGUAAACUUUUUUGUGAAAGUGCUUUUGGAAAAAAAAAGCAGGAUGAUAGUGUCUUUUCAUUAAAGGAGCACUGUAGCUCCGUGUGCUUUGAAAAAACUGGCUUUUUUUCAAAGCAGCAAAUAGCAGCUUCAGCUUUUCCUUUGAUUUUCAGCUUAUUCUCACAGCAGCUUCCAAAAUAAGCCCUUUUUUUUCAGUUUACCAAACACAAAAAUGACCCUCAGCUUUUUUUCACAGUGACUUUUUUUAAAAUCACCUCAAUCCCAAACGGGGCCUAAGUCACACGCAAGUAGCCCUCUCCCACAGUAGUAGAGAGGAGUGUUGCCCUUGCAUCACAGUGUGGGUUUGAACCACAUCAGCUUCCUAAUUUAAUAUUUAAUCUAACAAAUAUAUCAUUUGACAAAAAAAGUCACAAAUGGUGGGCCCGUGCCAUUUUGUAUUAACUAAUUACUACGUGUAAUUAUGUUAUUUUGUUUGGGUAAUAAUGUUAGGGAGAUCAAAUUUCUAAACCAAAUGAUGUGGAUGUUGAUGAUUGAAUUAUUAGUUAAGUAUUGAUUAAUGUGCUUAUUUUCUAUUGGUGACACAUCAUUUGGUUUGCAAAUUUAAUUUAAAAUUUUGGUCUCCCUAGUAUUAUCUUUAUAUAUAUAUAUAUAUAUAUAUAUAUAUAUAUAUAUAUAUAUAUAUAUAAACAUACAAUUGAUGGUCAAAGAGAAAAAAUCGAGCACGUUGCCUUGACUUAUAAGAGCAUCUCCAAUGGAAGUCCCUAUUUUUGGGACUCCCACCCCCACUUUUGAGUACUCAUUUAAGGAUUUAACGGGAAUCUUUGUGUCCAUAAUUUGAAGUUUUUAUGAUUUUACGUGAUAAUUUGAUUAGGUGCACAUUUUUUGCUUAUAUUAACCUUUUAAAAUUAAUUAAAAUUAAAAGCAUUAAAAACACUAAAAUCUUCAAUCAAGAUUGUGGGCACUGUUUUCCAUUGAAGGUGCACAUUUUUUUAUUUAUGUUAACCAUUUUUUAAUGGGAGCAUUUUUGCUCACCACUCUAAACUUUGGUGUAUGCUCAUCAUACAUCUAAUUAUCUGCCACGUGUCAUUUCACUUAACCUUGGUUUAUUUUUUUUCAAAAUUGAAAAAAUAACAUUUAGUCUGAAAGUUAAUUAGAGCUAUGUGAAAGGACACAUGACAAAUCACUAGGUGUAUGGUGAGCAUAAAUCAUAAUUAUGGUGGUGAGCAAAAAUGCACCCGUUUCUAAUUAAUUAAAAGCAUUAAAUGCUUCAAUAAAGAUUGUUGACCCCGUUUUCCACUCAAGAUUGCCCCUAUACAAUCCUUAUAUGUGAGGACAUACACUAUAUAUUCGGUGGGUCUCUAUACUUUAGGGACUCACUUUCCGCUUCAUUGGAGAUUCAUUUUGUCCUAUGUUUAUUUUAUACCCAAUUUACACUGCGGUUGUCCCUAUUUAGAGGACUCUACUAGAAAUGGCUCUAAGUCCCUUUCAUGUAAUGGUACUUGUAUGCUGUUAAAUCAUGGAGGACUCACCAAUUAAUUAAGGGGUGUGAUAUUCACACACCUCAUUUUACUUUUCACACAUCCUUCUAAUUUUCAGCCGUCGGAUCAGAUGAAUUGAAGAAAAUCAACGGAUAGAAAUUAACAAGGGGUGUAUAAGAAGUAAAAUAGGGUGUGUGGAUAGCACACCUUAAUUAAUUAAUGAUCAUCUCACUUCUACUUUUUAUUCUUAACUGUAUAAUUAUUCAUCUAUUAGUUCGUAACUCUCCUUUUUAGUCAUCAAUAUAUGAUCGAAAUAUUGUCGUUAUUAAAAAAAAUCGGUCAUUUCUCCUAUCAAAUCUCAAAAACUGAUCAUUUCUACUAAUUUUCCUAAAUUUUUUACCAAACAAUCAUUUUUCAAAGCGAAAGUGAUUUUAGCUCUUCCCAAAAGUACGACCCCAAAGUCAACGUAAAUGUUCUAAUACGUUGCUGCCAACCCAUGAUUAGACCCUCCAUUAGCGACGUCCCAUGUUGUGCAGGUUUGUUUCUUUUCUCUAUAAGUGGAAAGAAAAGACUUCAAAAUUCAAACAUUGCGCACAAGAAUUCAAACCAUCACCUAAUUACCUUCUUCCCUUUGUUAAUUUCUACCUCCCUUGCUCCAAACAAAGGAGUGUAUAUAUACACCCGAAACGACGUGAUCAAUAUAAUUCCAGUAUAGCCAUAGCGAAAAACGUCAAGCCGGAAGCUAGUCGCGUAAUGCCUUAUGAAGUCCUCUCCCUGUUUUUUGUGUUGUCCACUUUCAUUUCUACAAACCAUGCUUGCAAGGAGGCAGAUCACAACUCUCUUUUGUCAUCCUUCGAUACAUCUUCUUCUUGUUUAAAUUGGUCUUCCACUGAUUGUUGUCACUGGGAAGGCAUCGCUUGUGAUGUCGAUGGUAGGGUAACACAUGUUUCGUUGCCCUCUAAGAGGCUCCAAGGAAGCGUUUCUCGCACUCUUGGAAGCCUAACGCAUCUUUCGCACCUCAAUCUCUCCCACAAUCGGCUUUCCGGUCCUCUGGAAGCUGGACUCUUCUUGUCCUUGAGUCGGCUUGGAAUCCUUGAUUUGAGCUAUAACCUUCUCUCCGGAGAAUUACCUUUGUUUCUAUCAUCUAGUUACAUUCAAAUAGUGGAUUUGUCGAACAAUCAAUUCAACGGUACAAUUCCUUCUUCAUUCCUCCAGCAUGCCUGGAAUUUGAGCAGUUUGAAUGUCAGCAAAAAUCAUUUUACAGGCCAAAUACCUUCCCCUAUCUGUCUUCAUUCCUCUCCAGUUAGAGUCAUCGAUUUCUCCAACAACGAUUUCAAUGGUUCAAUUCCUCUUGGACUAGGAAACUGUUCGAAAUUGCAAAUCUUUCGUGCGGGCUUCAACACUCUCUCUGGAACGCUUCCUAGUGAUCUCUACAAAGCUCAGGCUCUUCAUGAAAUUUCGUUACCUUCCAAUCAGCUUUUCGGUCGCAUUAGUGACAACAUUGUCAAUCUCACCAGCCUCACAAUCCUAGAGAUUUACUUCAAUCAUUUGAGUGGCGCACUUCCUCUCCACAUUGGGAAGCUCUCCAAAUUAAAACGCAUGCUCCUUCAUUUCAACAAUCUGGAAGGUCCUCUGCCCCCAUCCUUGAUGAAUUGCACAAACCUUAUUGAACUCAAUCUUGGUUUCAACAGAUUGGAUGGAAAUAUCUCGGAGCUAAAUUUUUCCAAACUUGAUCAACUUAUCAAACUUGAUCUCCUGAGGAAUUACUUCUUCGGCGUCCUACCAAAAAGCCUUUACUCAUGCAAGUACCUAAAAGCAGUUCGCCUGAGUAUUAAUGAUCUGGAGGGACAAAUACAACCUGAGAUUGUUUCGUUGAAAUACCUAUCCUUCCUUUCGCUUGGUAGGAACAGACUUACCAAUGUCACCAGUGCUAUACAUAUAUUGAUGCGUUUGGAAAGUCUCAGGGUGGUCGCACUUUCAAAUAGUUUUCUAGGUGAAGAACUGCCAGAUGGUGAUGCAAUGAUUGGUUCUGGGUUUCAAAAUCUCCGCCUUUUUAGCUUGUCAGACUGCCAACUUAGAGGAUAUAUUCCUGUGUGGAUGUCAAAGCUCAAGAAACUCAAAGUCCUUGAUUUGUCUUCUAACAGACUCACAGGCUCAAUACCUCCUUGGUUGGGAAGUCUUCCUAAUCUUUUCUUCAUAAACUUGGCAAACAACUCACUUUCGGGGGGAAUUCCAAAGGAGCUUUUCUCACUACAAGCUCUUAUAUCCGAGAAGCCUUCCGCUCAGACAGAUAGUGGUGAUGUCGAACUACCUGUCUACACGUGUCGCACGAAUACAUCUGACGCAUCUCUGCAGUACAACUAUCUGUCCAACUUGCCACCAGCUAUUGGCAUCCGAAAUAACAGUCUAAGUGGCAACAUUCCCAUUGAGAUAGGGCGGUUGCAAAACCUUCACGAGCUGGAUCUCAGCAAUAACAACAUCGUUGGCAGCAUUCCGGACCAGGUAUCUAAGCUCACAUUUGGAAGAACUGAGGAGGAUAGGAUGUUUGGUGCUGGAUAGAGUUUUACGACGACAGUUUAUGUUUUGUUCGGUUUGAGUAUGGAGCUUUUUGCAACGUAGUGCGAAAUUUUUCUACAGGUCACACUAGUUGAUAGAGGAGUAAUGUGAACUGGUAUUCAAAAGAUUGAAUAUACGACAUGAUAAAUUGUGCACCCUUAAGAAAUUACUGCUUGCUUAUCGAGACAAUAAAUGUGUGAUCGAUAUCGCGGGCUGCCGACUGUGGUAUCGAUAACUUAUUUGUUAGGUUCGUUAAGCAAGUGGGCAGGAAAACCCAUCUAUGGCAGUUACGGAUUCACUAUUGUUGGGGCUCGACUCAAAGACACACAUGUUCUCGAAGUACAUGACAAUCGUAUACUUGGGUGAAAACCACUUUCAUCUUUCAGUUUUGAUUUUCAAUAUAAGUAUUUUAACUUCCUUUACUUUACUUAUUUGUUUUUGGCAUUGCAAAUGUUUUUUUUGGGGGGGGGGGGGGGGGAGUACUUCAGUUUUUAGUUUUAAGUUUAGCACGAAUUUUCGACCUAUAUGUUAGUACAUGUCUAUUUUGACGUUAUCGUAUUUUAUGUACUUACUAUUGACCUUAAGCUAUUAUAUGUUUUCGACUUUAUAUCUUAUUAAAGUAUGUUCUCUACUUUUACACUGUUGGAGAAGAAAGCAAGAGUUUGGAGACAUGAUAGAGGAUUUUGCAACCCGCUCGCGACAAUGUGGCAUAUUCUCUUUGAUGCACCCACUCUGACUUGAUUUCUCUUUAUACAUAUAUUCUUCUUCCUAUUUUCAAGUCUUUCAGUGAGUAUGUUAUUUUAAAUUUCGGGACGAAAAUUUAUUUAAGGAGGGUAGAUUGUAACAACUCGUCCCGAUAAAAGGGGGUAUUUUCGUGAAAUUGCACAUUGGGCUAGAUCUUUUUCUUUUAAAAAUUAUUUUUGGGUCUUAAUUGGUGAGCCCAAGGGGCCCACCCCCUGUUUUGUCCCCAGUUCCCUUCCCAUUUUCCUUCUUUUUCUGAUUUUUAUAACACACACUCUCUUUAUCUUAUCUCUCCUUCUCGACAACUUUCUCCGUUCCUCUCCGAUACACCCCUACACCCACACUCAGUUACACAUGCACACCCUAGGACCCUCCUAAGCAAGAACUCAAACCCAGGACAGGUCCGUAUGCUAUUAGUUUUCAUAAAACUUUGGGGGUUAGUAUGUUGAUAACUGUUUUAAUAUAUAUAUAUAUAUAUAUAUAUAUCAACUUGGUCCACUAAUGUUUGUUUUGCACCUUCUUCAGGACUUAGAAUCGAGGCAUACAAUCCCGACGUCAAGGCACUUCCGCAUCGGCAUCUUCGAGUCCUCUUGGUGUAGGACCCACUCAUUUGCUUAUUCAAUUUUAUAUUCUUCCUUUUAGUGUUCUAGUUAAAUUGUAUGUUCUGAACACGUUCGUCAAUUGCAUUUCAUUGUAUUUAAAUUUAUAACUCCUAAUUACUUCUUGUUCUAAUGCAUGUUAAAUGGUUUUCGUCACCCUCGGGUGUCAGUCAGUGCGUGCCUACCCUAGUGUACGGAGAAAAUCAGGGUCGGGGUGUGUCAAAUUGGUAUUAGAACGUGGUUUGUUCGGAGCAUACUUAGGAUCUUCUGUUACUGUAGUAGUGUGUUAGUCAUAACAUCAUUUGGAUGCCACGACUUCCAGAUUUGUUGUCAUUUGGCACAGUUGUGCAACCCUUAUCACGCUAUGAAUUGUCACAUCCUAUUGAAGAAGAAGAAACUUGUGUCGGGAUUGUGCCUUAUUGGUGCCUCAUUGGUUCGUUGGAUGACUUUCAACAUCGAAAUCUUGGGAAACAGAAAAAUCUUAAUGGUAAGAAUUGGUUAAGACCAACUGGAGUUCUGAAUUGGUGAUGUACUAUGUGACAUGCGUUCCCUAGGAAUGGCGGGCAGUCACAUCUAUGUGAAAAUUACUCGAAACUUUCAAAGUGCGUGUUAGAGAAAACGAGUAAGCACUAGUUGUGACGAAGUUUAGUAAGUGGUAGUUGGUGGGAUCGAAUCAAAGUUCUCGGACUCGUUCCCACUGAGGAUAUUCGUGUGAAUCUUUAGAAUGAAUCUUUGGUAAUUGUUUUAUCAAUAACUUUCUUGAUUACUCCAACAACGAAGUUAAGUUCCUUUACCUUUGACCGUCAACUUUACACCAAAUUCUUCUAGUGUUGACUUCGUUUACAUUAAUUGCUUUCUAGGGAACUCCUCGGUAGCAGACGCUACUCUCACCCAUUUCCAAAAAGGAGUUGCAAUUCUUGUUGUUGUUGUGGUUGGACUUGGAUGAUGAAGAUCCAGUCUUGUUUGGAUAAAUAGACUUCUUGACCUUCACCUGGGUCUAGUACUCGACGGAAACCCUAGCUCCUUAUCCACGUACUUUUUGGUAGAGGUGAACUUAGUCUCUUGCUUGUAGCCCAACUGAUCAGUGCUCUUGUCCACUAACUGUUCGGCCUUGUAAUUUUUAGUGUAAUGGCUUAAGACUCUACCAUAGUCAUCAUUGUACGAAGAUCGAGCUUUACUCUGAACUUCUCUAGACUCAUUGAGCUUUGGUUUGCUCAAGGGCAUCACUUUAAGGUAGUAGAUUGUGCCACUGCAUGCAUACGUAGGCUGGUUGUAUCUUCAUUCUUUGUCAUUCUAUGUGUUCAAAGGUUCUAUGUUUAAUUUUUGAACUUUAAAUUAGCUUUCACAAAGUACCCUUGGUCUUGUACUUUAGAUUUGAUGGACUUGUUUUGACCCCCAAAUUCUUGAGUGUUCCUUUAGCCUUCUCGACAUGGUUUCUUGCUCAAUCAGUAAGGAAUUCAUGAUCAAUCGACCGGCGACAGCGUGCACCCAGUUCAUAUUGUUUCGGACAGGAACGGUAGGAGCAUAAUCUAUUCACAAGCUCACCACACUUACCAGAAAGAGUUCUUUGUAGGUGUGAGAUUUUAGUCGUCUUUGGUAAGAGAUGGAUGAAGGUUUUAGUACAAAAGGUCAGCAGAUUGUAUCACCAUCUUGCUAUAAUUUAUGGGCAGCACGUCGUUUCUUUUCCAACAAUAUGUGUUCGUCUCAACGUAUAUUUUCAAUGCUUCACUCUUGGACCCUUUUGUUUGUGAGUACGUGGUUGUUAGAACACUUCUAGCAAAUAUGUUGGUGCACUCUGGAAUAGCACCACAGCGCGGUUGAGGCGAGAAUCGAAUGAUCUUUACACUUCUCUCGAAAGGUGUGUGCUCUUUUGGGAUUUUCAGGUUGAUUACUUGCGAGUCCUUCUUCUUUCCACCAACAUUAACCUUGUUUGACUAGAAAUCUGCAAAUUGUUUUUUUUUUUUUGCAACGAUAAUUUAUAAAUGAAGACUAAAAAAUAGACAGUUUCAAUCAUUAAAAGUCGAUGUAGAGUGAUACCUCCAACUAGUCUCCAUUUAAAAAAAACGACGCUUUUGUUUUCUGUUUUAGCCACUUGAGUUUUAGAUUGACUGUUUCUAUUGUGAUUCGUAUCAUAUCAUGACGCUUUCAAUAAAGCAUCUUACCCAAUAAAAAAAAAACUCCAUUAAUUUCCUUUGAUCAUGACUUAAGUAAACCAUUGAGUCCAAUCUGCUAAGAAGAACAAAAUCAACUUCGAUAAGUUGGCACGUCAAUGUCCAAAAUUUCAAGCAUUCUUUGUCAUGAUGAUUAUACUCUGCAAUUUAGAAGUCAAGACACAUAAAGAAAAAAUAUAUAUAGUAGUGAAAUAGGUCACGCAUGGUAGAUUUACCCUACUUUAUAUUAAGUAAUUAUUGCCCUUAAUUGUAUUAUUUAUUUUUAUACAAGCGAUAUUUAGAGAGAAAAAAUCAAACAUGUAACCUUACACGCUGUUAAAUGAUAGAGAAUUCAUUAAUAAAUUAACUAAUUAAUGAUCAUCUCACUUCUACUUAUUCUUAACAAUAUAAUUAUUUAUCUAUUAGUUCAUAACUCUCAAUAGAAUUUCCUUAACUUGACCAUUUUAAAGUGCUUUAAACUCUUCCAAAAGCACGAGCCCAGAGUCAAGGUAAACCUAAUACGUUGCCAAACCAUGAUUAGACCCUCCAUUAGUGACGUCUCAUUUCACUUAUAUAUGGGGUGGUUACGAAACCAGACCGGAAUGGGAAGAAACGGAAUUUCACUUUUCUCAAAGCUUUUACCAAGCUUCAAUCCCUCAAAGCUUUUACCAAGCUUCAAAGGAAUCAGAAAAUAGGUGAGCCAAGGUUCACCUAAAAUUAGUAAUUAAAAUUUUAAAUUAUUCAUAAUUGGAUUACGUAGAUGGAGAUGAUAUUUGGACUCUGGGGUGAAAGCUCUAUCCAAACAAACUUUUUUACCUGAAAUACCCACACAUUUUUUACUUGUAAGCGCAAGUGAUUAAGAAUAUUUACCUUUGCACUUGAGUCUGAGAUUCGAUUAUCCUCUUCUUCACUAUUGCUUCUAUCCAAAAAGGAAAAAAAAUAAUUGUAAUCUGAACGCAUUUGGCCACUUUGAAGUCAGUGUAAGUGACUCUUUGAAGUCUUUUGUUUGCUGUUUACUCCUAAAGCCUAAAGUCAAACCAAACCACUUCAAAUCCAUAGACUAACACAUAAAAGAUCUUUACACGAUUGAAGAUAUUGGGAAAUAGCAGACAAAACCACAUAACAUACAUACAUAGUACAUAUAAGCCCUUUAUCCAAAGCGAUUCCUAUUUUUGGGUGAAAAUAGGACUAGUUGUAGGGCCCACUUUUAGUUGAAAUUUAAUGAUCCGAACGGUCUAUUUUGUAGUCUUGAUUCAUGAAUCAUCUUUACAAAAAUUCAAUUUAAUCCUAAAUCAUUUGUCUAUUCAAUUAUCAUGAAGAAAUUUCAUUGUUUCUGAUAGAACAAAGUUUUCAUCAAUUUUUUUGAACUCAAUUAAACGUCUCAAAUAUUUUCGAUUUAGCUAAUAUUUUGCAAGGAUGAUUUAUGAGAUCCAACUUGAAACAUAGACAGUUCGGAGCAUUGAAGUUCGAUGUGUUGUGGGUCCCACAACUAAUCCCCAUUUAAAAAAAAAUGAAAAUCUCUUCCCUUAAAAGCCUUAUAUGUAUAUAUAUAAUCCAUAGAGAAGCUUGUAAGAUGAAACUUAACAAUGUUCAUAGGUAGCUGUCAUGGCUUCCUGAAGACGUAUAUACUGCAGUAACUGCACAAGUUGAUGCACAUUUGAUGUAUAUGUAUUUUUUGUUGUUCAAAGAUGUAUAUGUAUAUAGUGGCGAAGCCAGGAUUUGCCGAGGGGAGGGGCUAAAUUCAAAAAAGUGCAAAGUUCAAUCGAAACGGUUGCCUUCACAUUGGAGAGGGCAAAGUUUUGAAUCAAUAUUCAUAAUAGAAAACAGUCUAUCCACCAAAUCGGUUGUAAGCGGUAAGAUCAAAGGCAUGUAAGAAGCUUAAAUUGGUAAGAAUUAGAUUCUAAAAAACAUUAGGCGCUAGUCAGGCAGCGGACUGGGGCCUACCAAUUAGGCGCUUAGGCGAGAUUUAGGUAGGAACCUAGAUGGAUUUAAAUGUCUUUUAUUGUAAAAUAAGCAUUACACGAUAUUUACAUUAUUUUAAAAAAAUUAAUACAACAUUUAUAGAUAAUGUGAGAGUUUAAGAUAAAUACGCUGGGUUUUAAAAAGAGGGAAAAAAAUACAUACAAGAAUAAUAAAUAAAUAAAAGAAAAGAGAAGAGAAAAAUGGGUUAACAACCCACAAAAAAAUGUGUUGUCAUAAUUUAAAUUUAGAUCAUUGAUUAAGUUGAUUCUUUUUUAAACGUUUGAUUUGGAUUUAAUUUGUCAACAUAAGUCUAGCGAUAUACGACUUGUUGGUGAUUGAACUAUGUAAAAAGUAGUUAUGCUCAUUUAUAAGUGUGUUUACGCUAAAAGCCUAAAAGUGCAUUCAUUAGUUUAUUCAAUAUCUAAAUGCUUCUUCGUGAAAGACUUCCUGAAGAAUAAUCUGACAAAAAGCACUUCGAGAACUUAGAAAGAUGUAAAUUUUUAUGGCAGAUGUAACUAAAAGUGCUCUUUAGGCAUUCCAAUGGCAUUGCCCAACAGGUCCAUCCAUACAUACAUGCAUAAAAAAAAGGAAAACUUGGGGGAUGAAGCCGAGAGGUAAUGGGGACAAGUGGUCCUCCCAUCAUAUUUUAAUAUUUGUUUUUCAAAUUAAGCCCAAAUGCCCAAACACACCGUUUCACUUAUUUUAAUAUUAAUUUUUUUUUUUCAAGUUUUCCCUUCCCUGCGCAGCCAUGAAGAACUGCUGCAGUUGUAGCAAUUGUGAGCUGCAAUCCGGCGAAACCAGAGGUGCUAUAGGGCAGCAAACCAUGAUUUCUGGGCAUGUUUUCCUGUGAGAGGAGGGGCGGACCCCUCCCGGGCCUUAACAGCUUCGCCGCUGCACGCGCAGCGUUUGUGCAGCUGCAGCAAAAAACAUGGCUUCAUUUCCGGCGAGAGGAGGGGCGGGUACUCGCUCCUGGGCUUCAUUUCCGGCGAGGGGAGUGGCGGCCACCACUCCUCACCCUCACGUGGCUUCGCCACUGUAUGUAUAUGUGUAUACGAAUGAUGCUUGCGAUCCAAGCGAAUGCAGCGCUCUCACGACCUUCUCUCCGUCUUCUCCUCGAUUGAAUUGGACUACUACCUCAGUUGAUUGCUGCCAGUGGGAAGGCAUCACCUGUGAACAAAAUGCUCCAUUAAUUUCCCUUGAUGUUGCCUUAAGUAAACCACCGUGUCCAUUCUGCUGAGAAGAAAAAAGAUCAAUUUAGACAAGUGGGCAUGUCCCAAAACUUCAAGCAUUCUUCUUUCUUCGUCUUAUUUAUUAUAUCUUUGCAAUUUCAACGUCAAGACGAAGAAAAACAAAUACAGUAGUGAAAUAAGUCACACAUGGUGGGCCCACGCCAUUCUGUAUUAACUAAUUACUACACGUAAUUGUGUUAAUUUUUUUGGUAAUGUUAGAAUAAUCAAAUUUUGAAAUCAAAUUUUAUAAACCAAAUGAUGUGGAUGUUGAUGAUUGAAUUAUUACUUAAGUGUUGAUUAACGUGCUUAUUUCAUACUGAUGACACAUCAGUUGAUUUGCAAAUUUUGAUUUUCCUGGUAUUAUCCUUUUUUUUAUAUACAACCGAUGUUUAGAGAGAAAAAAUCAUGCACGUAACCUUGCCUUUUAAAUCAUGGAGAGCUCACUAAUUAAUGAAUUAAAAAUCAUCUCACUUCUACUUUUUAUUCUUAAUUGUUAGGGAGUUAGCAUCUUAAUCAUCUAUUGAAUGCGAUCUUUGUAACCACUUUCCGUUAUGUAAUUUAUUUGUAUUUUAUUUUGUUAUAAGUUCUUUGUAACAACUUUCCGUUAUGUAAUUUAUGUUGCCAUUAGUAUAGGAUGGAGAUGGGAAAAAACUCGUGUAUAAAUCUUGUACUCAUGUACAUUUGAUGUCAAGAACGCAUUCACGUGGGUGAUCAAUCCGACAAAUUGAUGUUAAGAACGCGUUCCUACACGGUUAUUUGUCUGAGGAAGUUUUUAUGCGCCAGCCCCCUGGCUUUAUUGAUCCUUUUCGACCACAUCAUGUUUGCCGGCUUCAUACGGCUAUUUAUCCCCUCGCGCGUGGUUUCAUAGGUUUAGCACUUUUCUUCUUCUUGUUGGUUUUGUACAAAAUCGCUCUAAUUCCCCCAUGUUUGUGUACACGACAUUGUGCUCACAGGUAGUAAUUUGUCCCAUAUUUCCGCUUUCAUUCACACUCUUGGUGUGGAAUUUGAUGUUAAAGACUUGGGCACCCUCAAUUAUUUCCUUGGUAUUGAAGUGUUUCAUUUGUCUGAAUCAGUUACACUCAAAAUAAAUAUACUAUUGACCUCCUCAAGAAAGUAAUCUUCUAGAAUGCAAGCCAAUUUUGACUCCGAUGGCCUCCGGAUUUCUAAUUCUCGCACUGAUGGCAAGCCCCUUGCUAAUCCUACACCUUAUUGACAACUUGUCGGUCCUCUUCAAUAUCUCAUGAUUACUCGUCCAAACAUAGCCUAUGUUGUUCAACAUUUUUCACAGUUCAUGAGUUCUCCUUGUGAUACACAUUUGAGGUUGUCAAAUGUAUUCUUCGUUACCUGAAAGGCGCAUUUGGUCAUGGUUUACUUCAACGUUCUACGGAAUCAUCUCUCCUUGUUGCUUACUUGGAUGCCGAUUGGGCAAGGUGUCCUGACACUCGUCGAUCCACUACCAGCUACUGUGUUUUCUUGGGUCCUAACCUCGUUUCUUGGAGUGCUAAGAAACAACGUACAAUCCUCCGCUCUAGUGAUGAGGCCGAAUAUUGUGCCCUUCCAUAUGCUUGUGCUGACACUAUUUCGAUCCAAGGCAUUUUACGAGAAAUUCAAUUUCCUCUUUCUACACCAGUUCUUCUUAUUUCUGACAAUCUUUCUACCACUUACAUGGAAGCCAAUCCGGUCUUUCAUUCUCAAACCAAACAUAUUGGUAUUGAUUAUCAUUUUGUCCAAGAACGAAUUGCAACUGGUAGUUAUCGCGUUCAGUUUAUUCCUUUCACACAGCAACUUGCGAAUGUCUUCAUCGGCUAAUUUUCAAACUUGUCUACCCACCGGCGUCAAGUUUGGGAGGGAGUGUUAGGAAGUUACCAUCUUAAUCAUCUCUAAUAUUAGAAAGCCAGAAGCACACUUUGGUGUCUCAAGGCUUCACAAAAAAAAAUUGGACUGAAAAGCCCCUUAAACAAAAAAAAAAUAGAACUGACCGAAUUUGAUACAUGAAAACACACAAGGGCAAUUUUGUAAAAAAAAUAUAAAUCUAAAAUUCAUUUUAUUAGAAGCAAAAAAUAAAAAAAAAUUAAAAAGGGGAAGACGUGUAUUAAAUCUCACUAGAAAAGGGGGCAACCCCACUCCUCCUCCAUUAUUAUUAUCCCAUAUAAAUGUAUAAAAAAUUUAAAAUUUUAUUUUAUUGGGAAAAAAUGAAAAGAAAAAAACAACAAAUAAAAAAGGACGGAUACUUCAAAUAAAAAAUAAAACGUGGACGCUAAAAAAUUGCACCCAACAUUCAACAAAAAGCAAAGUUUCUAUCAAACUGAACUAGGGGUGGGUUCAAAAAACCGAACCGAACGAAAAACCGAACCGAAUUCUUUUGGUUCGGUUUCGGUUUUAGUGAUCUAAAAACCGAACCGAACCGAAUUAAUUAAAUUAUUAUUUUUAUUUAAUUAUUUAUUUUGGGUAUUAUUUUCUAAACCCAAUUUGUAAGUUAAAAUGUGCUAAACCCAAUGUGUUGCCAAACUUUAAGCUCAAAAUAUUAAAAAAAGGCCUAUAAAAACUCUAAACCCUAACCUAUUAUUUCUCCCCCAUAUAAGGUUUCGGAACCAAACCUCCUCCUGAAGUACCACAUCUAUCUCCAUAGCACUGUCUACUUCUGCCCCAGCUUUCUUUUCCAAAUCUAACAUGUAACAGAAUCCAUUAACAUUUAUUUCGGGUAGAGUACUCGCGUAAUUUGUGAUGGAAAAGAAUCCAACACACACUAAAUAAAUCCACCCAUGCAUUACUUUUACUAAUCAAGUUGUCAACAUACAGUUACAAGUAAACAACCCUGAUCCUUGAACAACAUCAUACAAUUUAACUUAAAAAAGAAUUUAACUUAUCAGAAACUGUAUUGGAAGCAAAACAUGGUAAUUAAAAAAAUCAUGAUAAUUAUCCUCUAAAAGUUAGCAAUUAUGAAGAGCAGUUAGAAAACAAGAAGGAGAGUUUGGUGUCUCAAGGCUUCAUCAAAAACAUUUGGACAAAAAAACCCCCCAAACAAAAAAAAUCAAAACUGGCCGAAAAUAGUAGAAACAAAUUCGCAAGGGUAAUUUUGUCAUAAAAAUAAAAUAAAAACUGAAAUGAUAAAAAAAAAACUGGAUUAAUGCCACAUGGGUUAAGCUGUAAAGAGAAGAAGUUUUGUGGAAAAAGAGACAAAUGGUAAAUACAAACAGUUAAAACCGGAUGAAUUUCACUCCACUCCAUUUGCACGGUGCACUUGCCACCUAUAAUUCCGGAUGAUUUUCUCUCUUAAUAAUAAAAAAUCAAUAAAAUAAUUAAAAUAAUUAAAAACACCACGUUUAUAAGAUUGAGGAUCGUCUCCAGAUACCUCAUUCAAAUAAAACAGUAAAUUCAAAAUUUGUUUUAUUUGGAAAAAAAAAAAAGCCCGUGCCUCCUCUAUUUUAUGAGGGAGAGAAUCCUACUUAUCCUAUCAUUCUUCUCUCCUUGAAUUUCUUUUAUUUAAUCAAUUUCAACUCCCGAUAGAUCAAAAUUUCCAUCCACUACCAAACAGUAACUCCCCAUAUUCAGUUACUUGCAGUUUACAAAUUUCACUUCAAUACCUUUCAUAUGCUCAUCCAAGGAAAAAUUUUCUAAGCGGCAAAUGAACAAGAUGUUCAAAAUGGUGUCAUCAGUUCCAAAUUCAAAGAGAACCAUGAACAACUGUAGAAACAAAAACUACCCACGUACCAGAAGAUAAAUGCAAAAAUGAUAUUGCGUUCAACAAUGGUGAGUGUGUUAGAACCAUGAACAACCGUAGAAACAAAAACUACCCACUCCUCUUCUAUUUUCGGAGAAAAUAUUAAUCUAACAAAAUUAUAUUUAAAAAAAAAUAUCUAAGAAAUUUAAAAAUGAGAUAAAAAGAAUUAAUAUCCACAAAAUUAUAUAUAGAUAUAUACGAAACAACGUGGGAGAAAGAAAGGGGUAGAGGUUGCCGUGAGUUUUCAAAAAGGAGUGUAAUUCGCCCACUACAAACGCUAACUUCCCAGUUCGUAAAAUCCCAUUUUUUCCGUUUCUACUCAUUUUCCCAUAUCCAAAUUCAAAUGUUCUAAUUUUCCCCUCAGUUAUGUAACUGCUAUCAAGAGUUGUUGCUUGGUAUUACAGACUCUCACACUCCAACGUGGGAUAAAACGGGUUUAAGCAAUGUUCGAGUCAUCAUUCUUCUUUUUUUUCAAAUUUUUCGCUUUUUUUGCUUUGCCAUUCUUCUGUCUCUCCCUCUCCCUCUCUCCAGGCGUAAAAAGGGAAUUAAUCUGGGUGUAAGCUUCUUUCUUUUCACUUCCACGGGUUUUCGCCUUUGAAACGUAUAUGCUAUAGCUUUUGUGGUUAAAAUCUUGGUGCUUUUUAUUUCAAUUUUCGUAUUCUUUCUCUCUCCUUUUUGCUAUAGGGUCAAGACGAUUCUAUUAGGCUCCAAAGUUCAAAGGUUUGAGUAACUUUGGGUAAAUCUCAAUCUAAAUUUACCUUUUCAGUUUUUAGGUUUUUUUUACGGUUUAUCUUUUAGGUGAUGAAUUUGAUGCGGUCUACUACAGCUUUCAGGAUGUAUAUAUGAGUUUGUAUUUAGUAUUUCUAAGUCAAUUUUAGUUUUUUAAACUUCUUCCUUUGAAAUUUCCAUUGUGUGAUUUUUAAAUUUUGGUUAGAUUAUGAGUUUCAAUUUUGAUUAUCUUGAUGUCCUAUACGUGUGCUAUGGAAAUUAAAAAAAUUAUUUGUUUUCAUUCUCAGGAUAUUUACAAGAACACCCACAAAAAAAUGGAGAAGGAACUACCUAUUGAUAAGAUCACAAACAGACGUGUCUCUAUUUUUACACCUGGGUGGGAGAUAUCUGUCGGAGUAAAAACUACUGAUCUAAGCCAACUGAUUCUCAAAGAGUGUAAAAAAAAAGAAGCAUGAGCAAAUGUAUUCUAAAUUCUUUAUUAAAUUUGUUUUACAAAAAAUUCUAACAUUAUAUGUACCUUCAAUAUAUAUAGGUGGCGCAUGAAAAAGGCUGUAGAAGAAUUAAAACCUUCAACAACUCCUCGCAUCAUACGAAUUUGGAAUAAAGUCCAACAAAUUAGGUACAACACCAUUUCUUACCUAUUUAUUUUUUAAUGGCAUUGUCUAUAUCAUUCUACAAAUUAAUUAUCUCAAAUUAUAAAAUAAAAAAAAAAUCUACAAAUUAAUUAUCUCGAAUUAUAAAAAAAAAAUUAUGGGUGCAGGAAAAAGAUUAAUAGUGACCAAACAACUUUUCUAAAAUACGGUAAGUAUUCUCUUAUUUUUCAUACGGAAGUAUACUGGAAAUUCAAAUUGCAUUCAAUUUUCAAAUAGAAAUAAAAUUGCAUUUUUUUUGUCAGUUUUACAAGCAUCGCACCUGUCGCAAAGUACAAAGGUUGAAGUACAAGAUUAAGGUAACAUUUCUUACUAUUUAAUUUUGUAAACAUGAUUACAAUUUGUUACCUCAAAUUUGACAAAUUAUUUAUCUUUCAGUAUUCUAAAAGUAUCUGGAGUAAAAGUAUUGCCAUCAGAAAAUUGUCAAAGUUAAAGGUAUUUAGGUUAAAUUGCUUACAACCUUUAUAUUUGGGAUUGUGCAUUAUAGUUAGAAUUCUUAUUUUAUCAUCAUUACUUGCAGAUUAACCAUGAAAAUCUAAAGCAUCAAGUGCAAGCAAAUGGGUGGCAAGCAUGGCUUUGAUUUCACACGUAUCUGAUGCCAAUGUAUUUCUGUUUGGAAGUAAUCCGUCUAUAUUUUCAAGCAUGGAAGAACCAUUGGUGUUGCUGUGAACGUACACAACUAAAUCUCAUGGCCUGCACAGCCUGCACUUGCAGAGAACCAUUUGCACAAUUAUUGCCUUAUAUGUUGUUCAUUUCUGUGAUAGAACCCAUUUUAUUCCUGUUCUUUGUAAUUCAUAUCAUUUGAUGUCUUAGAGAUCAAUGUGUUUGUGGACAGACGUUGUCUAAAUUUAUUCAUUAAAACCCAAUUUAACUUCAAAAUUGUAGUUUUCCUACAUGAAUCUUUCUUUGUGAAUUUUGGUAAUGCAAGUUACGCAACAGAUAAAAGGAAUAAGUUGAUUUUCAUUUUUUCAUAUCUUUGCAGAACCAAAGAAGAAAAAUACAGAAAUCAGGUUGUUCAAAAUUUAAAUUAAUGUUGUUUUUUGCUUUAAUAGUUUUAGUUAGCCUUUUAAUUUGUUUGUUUACAUUUAAAGCUAUAAUUAGAUACUCAAUUUGAUUUCUUAUUCGCAUGGGAAGAAGGAUCAAUGAAAUUGGCAGUGCUCCAAUUAAUCCAACCAGUUCUCUUCAGUUUUGCUUCUUCAUUGUUUAUACAAAUAGAUGGUGAUGAAUUUUAGGGUGAAAAUUAUUUUCAGAAAAAAUUCUUUUCCUAAAAUCGAAAUUUUUAUUGGGUUAGCAAUUCAUGUUUCAAUUUGCAUUCUCUCUCCAUUUUCAGUUUUAAUCACAUAUUUGCAUUCAAUUAAUUUUUAAAUAAUUUUUACGCAAUUCUUUGGAGAUGAUUGAAAAUAAUGAGAAAUUGUUAUGAUGGACACACACCCACAAUUUAUAAAAUAACCACUUAAGAAAUAUAAGAAUAUUUAAAAUAACACAUUUGUGGGGCGCGUAGCGCCCGUGAUGCAAAAAUGCCUCUCGCACGCACGUUAGUGCGUGCAAAGAGGCUAGUCUAUUGAAUGCGAUCGUUGUAACCACUUUUCUUUAUGUAAUUUAUUUGUAUUUUAUUUUGUUAUAAGUUCUUUGUAACCACUUUCCAUUAUGUAAUUUAUUUGUAAUUUAUGUUGACAUUAGUAUAGGAUGGUGAUGGGAAAAAAACUCGUGUAAAUCUUGUACUCAUGUACAUUUGAUUAUUAAGGAAAAACCCAUUCUACAUUAACUAUAUAAUUAUUCAUCUAUUAGUUUAUAACUCUCUUUUUCAGUCAUCAGUAUUUAGGCAUCAGUAUAUGAUUAAUAGAUCGUCAUUACUAAAAAAAUUAAUCAUUUCUCCUGUCAAAUCUCAAAUAACUGAUCUUUUAAAAAAAAAAAUUCCAAACAAUCAUUUUCAAAACUAAAUUUGUUUAUCAUCUAGUUACAUUCAAAUAGUGGAUUUGUCGAACAAUCAAUUCAAUGCUACAAUUCCUUCUUCAUUCCUCCAGCAUGCCUGGAAUUUGAGCAGUUUGAAUUGUCACGUCCCAAUCCUAACAUAUGUUGAAAAUCGACACGUGACAAGGAAAAUAAUGUUCGUUGAAUACGGUAUAAGUUACAGUAUGAAAUACUUUAACUGAUAACCCAAAUUAAUGUGAAGGUGGCUAAGUUCUCCACAAAAUAUUUACAAUUAUGUACAUCCCAAAAAAAAAAGCAUAAUCUUAGCUUUACUAGGAACAAGUAUGAGGUGCUCAAAAGAAAGUCCCAAAAGAUAAAGUACAAGAGUGAAACAAGGGUAACCUAACGCUCAAAGUCUCUGAUAACGACACUACUACCCCACCUACACAACUCUCGGAGUCUACACAAACAUGUCACCUAUACGAUCAGUGCCUACACCAUCGGAAUGGUGCACCAGGCAAACAACAACCUGGAUAAGUUGCGAAGUUUAGGAGAGUGACAAUAAUAUCAAGUAUGUGAUAAUAAUGCUAAUGCCAACCAUCAAACACAGUUUACAUAUCUUGAAUAUAAAUCAUUCAUAAUAAUUCAAUACAAACUUUUGCAAACCCCGAAGGAGUCACCCAGACAUCCAACGGUUCAUCUAAAACCAAUCACAACAUCUCACAACCAUCUUCUCAUACAACACAUUGAAAAGUAGAGUUAAAGCGACACAGUUUGGCCGAAGCCUACACCUUUGAAGCCAUCUCAAUUCAAAUUCAAUCAAUUCUAAGGUGAGUAAGAUUCCGGACCUUCACUCAACGAAAUCGUGAAAUAAGAGAGAUUCUGGAACAUCUCUCAAUAGAAUCCAAGUGAAUACGAUUCCAGACCCUCACUCAACGGAAUCGCCAAGUACAAUACAUAACAACUACAUGAAACCCAAGUUAGAUACAAUUCCGGAACAUCACUCAACGGAAUCGUGAAAUAAGAGGGAUUCCAGAACAUCUCUCAACGGAAUCAAGUGAAUACGAUUCCGGACCCUCACUCAACGGAAUCUCCGGAAUCGCAGAAGACCAACAAUCAGAAUGUACGGCAGCUCAAAGAAAUAAGACAAGCACAUGCUACUUAAUUUAAAAAAACUCAACAAAGGAAGAAGAUUAGGCACCAUUACUAAAUUUAGAACCAAUCACCGAAGCGGAAGAUGAAACCAUAUCAAAGCAACGAAUUCCCAUCAUAAUGGUUAACGGUCAUUACUAGUCCUCACAUUAAUCUCAACCAGUCAAUCAUACAAAUCAAACCACAUUUCCAAUAUACAUGCCACACCCCAUUUCAUAAACUUAAUUUGAGGUCGAAGUAUUGGAAUAACAAUUCAAUAGAACAUAUUCAUAAAACCAAUUCAUUUCCACACAGGAUCAUAAUUAUGACAACCAGGUAAUUUAACAAUAUCACAUAUAUUACAGUCACUCACUUGUAGUCCGUGCUAAUGUACCCUAGCACGAUAGUCAAGGCAUCACGUUCUUGUCAUCGCCUAACAAAGCACAAGUCCACAUUUAGAUUUCCUUCAAUAAAUCACAUACUCAAGCAUUCUCAUAUGUCUCCCACAACAACAUUUAAUGAGGAAUUGAACCAUCAUUCUAAUGUAGAGUCCAUGAUCUUACGUCAUUUGCUUCGUAAAAUCAAAUCACUAUAUUUUCACUUAUAAGUCCCUAAGGUCCUUAAACAAUAACUACAAUAGCCUAUUAAAAUCUUGUCUCACUUCACUGAUAAGAUUGUCAAUUAAUAGAAUAAUCAAGUGGCAGACCUUAUCGAUAAAAUAUACAAUCAACAGCAUUUUCAUAAAUCGAAUGUCACACACUAGAAAAUGUGACUUUCUUAAAAAAUUAUCAAAUUUUACAGGAAUAAAGAUUUCAACAAGUAGAGUAAACUUUAUACCUGUGACCGAGUCCAAUUUGGCCAGAAAGGCCCUCAAAUUGGCUCCCACCCAACGAAACCCUAAAGUGGGUGUCCCUAAAUUCGGCUUCCUUGGCGCUCUAACGCCCCAACUACCAGUUGGGUCUUGUCCUUGGGUCCAAGGGAAGUGGAUUAAAGGUGAUGGUGAAUGGUGAUACUCUCCGGAAUGAUAAUUCGUCUCCUAUGGAGUUCUACAUGAAAUAGACCUUAAAAACCCUUAAUUUUUGGUAGAGAGGGAAGGACGAAGGUAGAGCAAGUUGCAGGUGAAGGAGGUAGGAAAAUCAACUGGAAAAAUGGAGGAAUUGGCCUGAAUUGGCUGGUUUGAAUUUUGGUUGGUGGACUCACGGUUUCAUGAAAUAUGGAGGUGGGGAAGAUAUGUGGCGUUUCUUUUCUUUCUUUUUUUUUCCAAAUAGUCAUUUCAUGCCCUUUUAAUAAAAAUCUGGCAGGUUCCCUCUUCUUUUUUAUUUUUAUUUUAUUUUUAUUUAUUUUUUUACUAACUUAACUCUUAACCCAUGUUUCCCACAAACUAUAUUUCACAACUUCAAAUGUCCGUAACUAUACCGUUAUAAUUCGGACUCGCAAACGGCUUUCGCCUAUGCGUUCGUGGGUUCGAGAUUUAUUUAAAAACACUAGUUGUAACUUCGAAAUGUCAACGAAAGAUAAAGAUUGAUUAUGAAACUUCCAACUCGAUAACUAAUCAAUUACUAAACUUAUAAUUAGUUGAAUCAAAAUUAACUAAUAAAGAUAACGUAAUUGCGAAUACGAAUUUAAAUUACGAAAUACGUAAUAAAUGGUGAAAUUCCGGAGAUGGAAUUUCACAUGAAUGUCAGCAAUAAUCAUUUUACAGGCCAAAUACCAUCCUCUAUCUGUCUUCGUUCCUCCUCGCUUAGAGUCUUGGAUUUCUCCCACAAUAAUUUCAGCAGCCCAAUUCCUCCAGGACUGGGAAACUGUUCCGAGUUGGAAGUCUUUCGUGCUGGCGACAGUACUCUCUCAGGGUCCCUUCCUGCUGAUAUCUAUAAUGCUCAGGCACUUCAAGAAAUUUAAUUAUCUACCAAUGGGCUUGUCGGACCCAUCAGUAAGAAUGUUGGUAAGCUCUCCAAAUUAAAGCUCAUGCGCCUUCAAUACAACAAUCUCGAAGGUCAUCUGCCCCCAUCUUUGAUGAAUUGCACAAACCUUGUUGAAAUAAAUUUGGGAUUCAACCGUUUUAGUGGGAAUAUCUUUGCGCUCAAUUUCUCUAAGCUUACUCAACUUAGUAAACUAGAUUGUGUAAGUAAUAAUCUCAUUGGUACCUGGCCAAUAAGCCUCUACUCAUGCAAGUCCCUAAAAGCACUUCGACUGGCUGCAAAUGAUUUCGAGGGCCAAAUCCAACCGGAGAUUCUUCAACUUGACCUUCCUCUCGCUUGGUAAUAGCAGACGCACCAAUGUCACGGGGGCAAUGAAGACACUGACGGGUUUCAAAAGUCUCAAGGUGCUCCUUCUUGUAAAAAAUUUUUAAGGUGAAGAAAUCCCAGAUGGGGAUAUAACUGUCGAUUCCGGGUUACAAAAUCUGCGUGUUUUCAGUUUAUUUAGUUGUCAUAUGACGGGGCACAUACCUGCAUGGAUUUCAAAGCUCAGGAAACUGGAAGUCCUGGACUUGUCUUUUAACAGACUCACUAGCACAAUACCUGGUUGGUUGGGGACCCUUCUGCAUCUUUUCUUUUGUUGUUGAAUUACAACUUGAUUUCGGGUGAUUUUCCUGUUGUGCGGAAGCGUCAAAUAUGAAACCAAUAAACUACAACGGCAAAAUAUGACAAGACAAAUAAUCCAAAAGACACAAGGAUUUAUACUGGUUCGGCGUAAGCCUACGUCCAGUUCCGAGACGGCGAGGAAAUUCCACUAAUAUCAAAAGGAGAUUACAAAUAGAGUUUUAACUCUCAAACCCAAAUCUCACAUACACCCAAUAACUCUCACUCUCACAAAGAACAAAUGGAGAAGAUGGAAACAUAUACCAAAUUCCUUCUCUCCCAAAAGCCACAAAAUGUAGCACAAAUAUCUUUGAUUGAGUGAUUACUAACAAAAGGGGAUUACAAACAAAAUGAAAGGAUAGAUAACAGCAACCCUUCUCUUUCUUCUCUCUAAUCUGUCGUUCCCACUCUCUCUUUUCCAAAGGCAUAACCAAAUGCCUUAAUAUAAACAAAAGGCCACCUUUCUUUGCUUUUGUAAAAGCCACAAAUCAAGGGCUAGACAUCAUAAUGAUGUCCCCCUUUUCCUUAUUCUAUUUUAUUAGCCGAAAUGUAUUUUGGCGUGUUGUCCACUUGGUCACAAAUCUAACAAUCUCCACCUUGACCAAGUUUCGAAAGCAUCACAGAGAAUCGAAUCAACAAUCACCAUAAGCACCCAAAGUACAAACUAAAGACAACGGAAACUAAAUCAAAUUCCCCAAACUUACCAGUGCUCAUAACAAUUUCCACCUCGACUCAAAUUGUACCAAAGCCAACGAAAGUGAACAUUUCUCUACCGUCUUCUCCAAAUUUGCAAACCAUAAGUGCCUUGAUCAAAACAAAAGGUGAUUCAAACGAAGAACUGAAAUUCUUCAAUAUCGCCAAUAAAAGAUCAAGCACACCAUACCAAAGUUGGACACACAACAAACUCCACCUGCUCACAAACACCAUGGUCUUAAACUGCACCAAUAGACUCAUUCACAUAGCAUGACACAUUCUCCAAGUCAAAACUGAUUACAAAUUUGGCAACAAGGUCUCACAUACCACAUACAAAAAUAUGCCCUUCACUCAAGUUUACCAUCAUCACAUGAGCACCAACAGGACAACCAAAAUUUCAAAUUCAAAUAAUCAGCAGGAGAUCCAAAACCAUACCUCAACUGGAGUCUUCAAAAAAACUAAUUGCAGAUGAUGGAGACCAACAGACCAAAUAGCAAUGGCAAACAAAUCCAACCAAAUGUCCAUAGACCAAAGUUAGAAAGCAUAUAACUUGCCUUCUACAAGAGGGUUCCACACAAAUGUUCCGCAUUAGGUGUCUCCAAAAUAGUGUGGUGUCUCACUAUCCAAACUUGCAGAACUUAACAAAUUGGCCCUCAUUGAAUUAAACUUUACCAAAAAAAGCAAAACCAUACCAAUAUCCAAAACAAUAAAAACACCGAUGAAGAGCAACUGACAUAACACAAACAUACAUAGAGGCUACUAAGCAACUUUCUCAAAUCAUAACAAAGAAUCCUUACAAACUCUUAAAUUUCCAUAUGUAGCAAAGAGAUUUAAGAGUACCCACAACACCAGAUUCCCUUUUUUUUUUUUUUUAAUUUCAAAUCUGGUGUAGCCAACUGUCAUCAUAGAACAAAGUCGAAGUCGUCAUCGACGACAUUCGCACUCGCACCAGCAUUAUCUUUCAAUUUUGGGCAAUCAACUUUCCAAUGCCCUUCCUUGCGACAAUAGUUGCAUGUGUUGUUUCUGGUCUUAGACUUCGAUCUCAAAUUUCCUUUAUUACUACCUGAACCAUAUUCCCUAUCUCUGCCUCUUGCUAUAAAAGCCUCAGAAUGAGAAUCAUUCAAGUUUCCAAAUACUUUGUUCUUUAACUCUCUUGAAUUCAAAGCGGCUUUUACAUUCUCCAUACAAAUAGAAUCUCUCCCAUAUAACAAAGUUUCAACAAAAUUCGCAUACGAAGGAGGUAAAGAACACAACAAAAUCAAAGAUUGAUCCUCAUCAUCAAUUUUAUUAUCCAUACUUUUCAAAUCCAUAAUAACCUUAUUAAACUCAUCAGAUGGUUUUGAAUAGGUGUACCUUCAGUCAUACGGAGAGUGUACAAACGUUGCUUCAAAUACAAACGAUUGGUGAGGGAUUUGGUCAUGUAUAUACUCUCCAACUUAAGCCACAAACCAGCUGCAGUAGUUUCAUUUUCCAUCUCACGAAGAACUUCAUCAGAUAGUGAUAACAUAAUUGCACUAUGUCUCGAUUCAAAGUGUCUUCUUUUUCUUCAGCAGACCAAUCUUGUGGCAAGGCCUCCACACUCUGUAGCGCCUUAAGCAACCCUUGUUGAACUAGCACAGCUCGCAUCUUAACCCGCCACAGGCUAAAAUCAUUCCUCCCAUUGAAUUUUUCAAUAUCAUAUUUCACCGACAUAUUCGAAGGUUUCAUAGACAUAUUAGUACAAAGCCCCAAGUCGAAACCCAGAGCUUUGAUACCACUUGUUGUGUGGAAGCGUCAAAUAUGAAACCAAUAAACUACAACGGCAAAAUAUGACAAGACAAAUAAUCCAAAAGACACAAGGAUUUAUACUGGUUCGGCGUAAGCCUACGUCCAGUUCCGAGACGGCGAGGAAAUUCCACUAAUAUCAAAAGGAGAUUACAAAUAGAGUUUUAACUUUCAAACCCAAAUCUCACAUACACCCAAUAGCUCUCACUCUCACAAAGAACAAAUGGAGAAGAUGGAAACACAUAUACCAAAUUCCUUCUCUCCCAAAAGCCACAAAAUGUAGCACAAAUAUCUUUGAUUGAGUGAUUACUAACAAAAAGGGAUUACAAACAAAAUGGAAGGAUAGAUAACAGCAACCCUUAUCUUUCUUCUCUCUAAUCUGCCGUUCCCACUCUCUCUUUUCCAAAGGCAUAACCAAAUGCCUUAAUAUAAACAAAAGGCCACCUUUCUUUGCUUUUGUAAAAGCCACAAAUCAAGGGCUAGACAUCAUAAUGAUGUCCCCCUUUUCCUUAUUCUAUUUUAUUAACCGAAAGGUAUUUUGGCUUGUUGUCCACUUGGUCACAAAUCCAACAUUUCCAAAGGAACUUUGCAGACUACAAGCGUUAGUAUCGCAAAAGGCUGUGAAUGAAACAGACCAUUGUUCUCUAGAGUUGCCCCUCUACUUUCAACGCGGUAAUAAUGUAACUGAUCUGGCUUCACAGUACAAGUAUCUGCCCAACAUGCCAAGACUUAAUUAAACCAUUGAGAAUCAACUUAGAGAAGUGGCCAUGUGUCCAUUUGCAAAAUUAUUGUGGCUUGGCUUUUGAAGUCAAGAAAAAGACUUACAUAUAAUUGUGAAACAAAUCAACAUGGCAGGCCAUCUAAGUACUAGUACUACUGUAUUGAUCGGUAAUUGCUUUUUGUUUAGGUAAAUAAAUUCAUUGAAAAAUCAACAAAUUACGAAUGCUGAGUGAAAUAGUUGUUGAUAUGAUUUUACAAUUAAUUCUAAUCAGAAUUGACUAAUCCAGUUGAAACGGUUGUUGUCAUCUGAUGGUUAAAUUUUCUAAGUUCUCUUCUUAAUUUGGAAAACUUUUUUCUUACUUGUUUGAUAAUCAUUUCAAUUUUCAAAAAAGUUAAAUAAAAAAAGUAAUUAAAAAAUGCCAAAUUUUGAAGGAAAUUGACAAUCGCACACAAAUUUAGCUAUUUGCAUACUUCUGUUUAAUUAUAGUCAUAAACUCAGUUUGGUUUAUUCAAUCUAAUAGCUAGAAAUAGCCACUUAAUAAUACGGUUUAGUGGUAGCAAUACUGUGAUUCAAAUUCGCUUUUGGCGAGAAUCGAACCUAAAACGUUUUACUUACAAGUGAAAAGAAAUACAACUAAACUAUAGUACUAAGUGACAAUUCACCCCCAUUUAGAAAACUCAAAAAAAUUUAACUAUCACUUUUCAUUUUUUGAUAAAAAUGAAAAUUGAAACUGAAAACGAAAUUAUCAUUGAGUGGCUCCUACUUACAUUAUGCACGAAUUUCCUUAACUUGAUUGCAUCUAAAAACCUGUCUAGUGAUUACAAGUAUUGUGGGAUUCAUUGUCAAAGUAUGUAAAACCUUAUUUUUUACCAAAAAAAAAAAAAAAAUUAGGUAAACCUUCAAAUGUGAACUAUUUUCACUCACUACUAGUGAUUUUUCAGUCUACAUAUUGUGUACAUGAAAGCAAAGACUUCACAUUUCAAAUAUUGUGGACAAAUAUCUAAACCCACCUUCCUUUUUAAACCUAUCUUUUAGUGAAAACUACAGCGAUACGACAUGGCUCACUAUCUCUUAGCGCAAGAUUUGAAAACCCUAAUUGAAGCAUAUCUCGUUGGUGUGCCUUUUAUGCUACGCAUUAUUCAAUAGUAUAGGAGUUUUAAUUGUUAUAUUUGAUUUUUGCAACUAUUUACAUUUUUAUUUUCAACCUCAUCCAACCAUGUCUCACAUCCAAAACCUAGAAAACCUAGGUUCAUUAGUAGUGGCUCACUAGAUUGUCUCUUCCUUUUUUGGGACAAUAUUUGUUAAAACGCUAAAGUUUCAAGUUAACCCAACUAUAUAUUGGUUUGCACAUGUGGUCAAUGUUUGAAGAAUAGUGAGCCAAUAAACCGUCUCUAAAACCUCAAUUGAAGCAUGCCGUGCAUCAAAAAGUUAAAAACCUCGGUUGGGGCACUAGAUUAUCUUUACCCGAAUUGAAACAAUGAAUUUAAAACGCUAAAGUCGCGGGUUGGCUCAACUAUUGGUUUGCACAUGUGAUCAGUAUUUUGUUUGAUUAGUAGUAAGCUGAUGCCUUGUCUCUAAAGUCAUCAAAGUUGGAAAGGAAUAAUCCAAAAACCUUGUAUGGACCCUCUCGUGCAAUUGAUGCUUUGAAGUCUAUCUACAUUUUCUACACUUAUUUCUCAAGUAUGUAAUGGAUCUUAGCGACGACUAACUUCCUUGGCAUCAUUCCUGACCAGAUUCCAGCCUCACCAACUUGGAGAGACAAUUCCCACCUCUCAGGAAAUCAUACAUCCGACAAAAUCCUAGUGUCACUAUCGGAGUCUUCGUCCAAGGCCUCAAUGCACUGCCGUGGAGGGUAAGACUUCACCUCAAUGCACUGCCGUUGAGAACAAUCCGAUACUUCACGGGUCCCCGCUUUCGAAUUAGUGCAAGUAGUAAUACAACUAAGAAUAUGGAAGAUGGAUGUGAAAAUUGUAAAUGUCGAGACUAAAUCUUUACAUUAAGUAAAUUAGAUUAAUCUUCAUAUUGUCAAUUGGUUGUACGGUGAAACCUCAAUUUUUUUUCAAUAAAUUUAUUAGUCUUUGCACCUAGAAGUCUCCAUAAUUUACAGUUAUUUCACAUCACAAUAUUCCUUUUUCCCAAAAAAUAAAAAAACAAAAAUAAACAAUUGUGGGACAACUCAAGUGGUAGGGUACUUACCUCCACUCAGUUAAAAAAAGUUCGAAUAUCGCUCGUCUUCACCUAAAACAAAAACCUGAAAAUGUAAAUAGACAUGAAAUUCGAUGAAUUUUCGCUCACUGAUUUAUGCAAAAACAAACAGAGACAGAGCCUCAAAGAAAAGCAGAGUCGUCCUUUCUAAUUUUGGUGUUUCCUUUAAUUCUAAGAAAGCUACAGUAAAACCAAAAAGAUUAAAGGAUCUUUCAACGACUUUGAAGUCGUCGCCUUAUCGCCAAUAAUUUACGGUUAUUGAAUGCGAUCGUUGUAACCACUUUCCGUUAUGUAAUUUAUUUGUAAUUUAUAUUGUCAUUAGUAUAGGAUGGUGAUGGAGAAAAACUCGUGUAUGUACUCAUGUACAUUUGAUUAUUAAGGAAAAACCCUUUCUACAUUAACUAUAUAAUUAUUCAUUUAUUAGUUCAUAACUCCUUUUUUUAAUCAUCAGUAUAUGAUUGAUAUAUCAACUUUACUAAAAAAAUUAAUCAUUUCUCCUGUCAAAUCUCAAAAAACUGACAUUUUCAAAAAGUUUACCAAACAAUCAUUUUCAAAACCAAAAUUUGUUUUUGCUCUUCCAAAAAGCACGACGCCAAAGUCCAUGUAAACCUUCUAAUACGUUGAGGCCAAGUUACCAACCCUCCAUUAGCGACGUCCCAUUUUCUGCAGGUUUGUUUCUUUUCUAUAUAAGGAGUGUAUAUAUACCCCCGAAACGAUGUGAGCAAUAUAAUUCCAGUGCAGACAUAGCGAAAAACAUCAUGCCCCAAGCUAGUCGCGUAAUACCUUAUGGAGUCCUCUUCCUGUUUUUUGUGUUGUCCACUUUCAUUUCUACAAACCAUGCUUGCAAGGAGGCAGAUCACAACUCUCUUUUGUCAUCUUUUGAUAUAUCUUCUUCUCGUUUAAAUUGGUCUUCCAGUGAUUGUUGUCACUGGGAAGGCAUCGCUUGUGAUGCCGAGGGUAGGGUAACACAUGUUUCGUUGCCCUCUAACCAGCUCCAAGGAAGCAUUUCUCGCUCUCUUGGAAGCCUCACGCAUCUUUCGCACCUCAAUCUCUCCCACAAUCUGCUUUCCGGUCCUCUGGAAGGUGGACUCUUCUUGUCCUGGAGUUGCCUUGAAAUCCUUGAUUUGAGCUAUAACAUUCUCUCCGAAGAAUUACCUUUGUUUCUAUCAUCUAGUUACAUUCAAAUAGUGGAUUUGUCCAACAAUCAAUUCAAUGCUACAAUUCCUUCUUCAUUCCUCCAGCAUGCCUGGAAUUUGAGCAGUUUGAAUGUCAGCAAUAAUCAUUUUACAGGCCAAAUACCUUCCUCUAUCUGUCUUCGUUCCACCUCGCUUAGAGUCUUGGAUUUCUCCCACAAUAAUUUCAGUGGCCCAAUUCCUCGCGGUCUAGGAAACUGUUCCAAAUUGGAGGUCUUUCGUGCUGGCGACAAUACUCUCUCAGGGUCCCUUCCUGCUGAUAUCUACAAUGCUCAGG